rnacentral:rRNA from 1 species
AUUGAACGCUGGCGGCAUGCCUUACACAUGCAAGUCGAACGGCAGCACGGGUGCUUGCACCUGGUGGCGAGUGGCGAACGGGUGAGUAAUACAUCGGAACGUACCUUAUCGUGGGGGAUAACGCAGCGAAAGCUGUGCUAAUACCGCAUACGCCCUGAGGGGGAAAGCGGGGGAUCGCAAGACCUCGCGCGAUUAGAGCGGCCGAUGCCGGAUUAGCUUGUUGGUGGGGUAAAAGCCCACCAAGGCGACGAUCAGUAGCUGGUCUGAGAGGACGAUCAGCCACACUGGGACUGAGACACGGCCCAGACUCCUACGGGAGGCAGCAGUGGGGAAUUUUGGACAAUGGGGGCAACCCUGAUCCAGCAAUGCCGCGUGAGUGAGGAAGGCCUUCGGGUUGUAAAGCUCUUUUGUCAGGGAAGAAACACCGGCUCUAACACAGUCCGGGAAUGACGGUACCUGAAGAAUAAGCACCGGCUAACUACGUGUCAGCCGCCGCAGUAA